rnacentral:rRNA from 1 species
UACGUAGGGGGCUAGCGUUGUCCGGAAUAAUUGGGCGUAAAGCGCGCGUAGGCGGCCCGGUAAGUCCGCUGUGAAAGUCAAAGGCUCAACCUUUGAAUGUCAGCGGAUACUGCCGGGCUAGAGUCCGGAAGAGGCGAGUGGAAUUCCUGGUGUAGCGGUGGAAUGCGCAGAUAUCAGGAGGAACACCAACGGCGAAGGCAGCUCGCUGGGACGGUACUGACGCUGAGGCGCGAAAGCGUGGGGAGCGAACAGG